rnacentral:tRNA from 1 species
GAAACAACUUAUAUUUAAAUUUCUAAUUUAAAUUAAAAUAAUUUUUUAUUUUUGUUUCU